rnacentral:rRNA from 1 species
GGGUCUGUCCAUUGGUCGGGCUUUACGGUCCGUACUGGUGUGAUAGGUUCCUACCUUCUGAAUAACCAGCAUGCCAUUUAGUUGGUGCGCUGGGGAAGCAGAGCUAUUACCUUGAAAAAAUUAGAGUGUUUAAAGCAGGCCUACGCUUGAAUACAUUAGCAUGGAAUAAUAGAAUAGGAC